GGGAAGGUGGCUCAGUGGUAGAGCGCUUGUCUUGCAUGCAUGAGGCCCUGGAUUCGAUUUCUCAGCACCCCA
rfam:Dipodomys ordii contig_5118, whole genome shotgun sequence.